rnacentral:lncRNA from 1 species
CAAAAACAAGAAAUGGGGAAAGGAUUCCCUAUUUAAUAAAUGGUGCUGGGAAUACUGGCUAGCCAUAUGUAGAAAGCUGAAACUGGAUCCCUUCCUUACACCUUAUACAAAAAUUAAUUCAAGAUGGAUUAAAGACUUAAACAUUAGACCUAAAACCAUAAAAACCCUAGAAGAAAACCUAGGCAAUACCAUUCAGGACAUAGGCAUGGGCAAGGACUUCAUGUCUAAAAC